rnacentral:rRNA from 1 species
AGUGAACGCUGGCGGUAGGCCUAACACAUGCAAGUCGAACGGCAGCACAGUAAGAGCUUGCUCUUACGGGUGGCGAGUGGCGGACGGGUGAGGAAUACAUCGGAAUCUACUUUUUCGUGGGGGAUAACGUAGGGAAACUUACGCUAAUACCGCAUACGACCUACGGGUGAAAGCAGGGGAUCUUCGGACCUUGCGCGAUUGAAUGAGCCGAUGUCGGAUUAGCUAGUUGGCGGGGUACAGGCCCACCAAGGCGACGAUCCGUAGCUGGUCUGAGAGGAUGAUCAGCCACACUGGAACUGAGACACGGUCCAGACUCCUACGGGAGGCAGCAGUGGGAAAUAUUGGACAUGGGGCGCAAGCCUAAUCCAGCCAUACCGCGUGGGUGAAGAGAGCCUGCGGGUUGUAAAGCCCUUUUGUUGGGAAAAAAAAGCGGCAGGUUAAUACCCCGCUGUUCUGACGGUACCCAAAGAAUAAGCACCGGCCAACUUCGG